rnacentral:misc_RNA from 1 species
ACGAGUUAGGGUCUUUCCAGGCCCGACCUCCCAACCCUUUGUUUACUGAACCACCGUUGCUUCGGCGGGCCCGUCGUCGUACGACCGCCGGGGGGGACCUGUCGUGAGACAGGCCCCUCUGGCCCGCGCCCGCCGGUGGCCAACCCUCAAAAUUCUUGAACCGAAUCAUGCUCGUGUCUAAGUCGUUUUGAUUAAAUCAAACAAA